rnacentral:lncRNA from 13 species
UGAGGGGAGGAAGAACAAUCCCCUGCCUUCCUCUUCCUCCCCUUAGCCACCCCCUUCUCCCUCAUCCUACUAUCAUGGGCUGACCCAUAGGAAGUCAUCAUGGAAAGAGGGUCAGGAACAUUUUGUGAGCAACCUCAGACGCCAGCAAAGCUCUUCCAAGAGGGUCCUUAGCUUUGCCCUCUUAAUGAAUCCUCAUCCGUUACUCAGGCUCUGGUGUUAAGAUUCAUCUUGGAUCUCCUCCUGCCUUUGCUUGCAUUUUGUUAUUGUUUUGUUCUCUCUCUUAUCUCCCAGUAGCUAUUUCCCAAGACUCACUGAAUUCAGAUGUUGGCAACUUCCUGGCAGGAGCUGCCUCUGAUUUCUGGUUCUUUCAUUCCAUCAACACUGUUGGGGAGGCUACUUGGACCAGGCACUGUUCUAGGCAUUAUGGACAGAUCAUGAGUGAAAUGAAAGGAGUCCCAGACCCAGCUGGGUGGAGGUGA